rnacentral:rRNA from 1 species
GGCGAACGCUGGCGGCGUGCCUAAUACAUGCAAGUUGAGCGCUGAAGGUUGGUACUUGUACCGACUGGAUGAGCAGCGAACGGGUGAGUAACGCGUGGGGAAUCUGCCUUUGAGCGGGGGACAACAUUUGGAAACGAAUGCUAAUACCGCAUAAAAACUUUAAACACAAGUUUUAAGUUUGAAAGAUGCAAUUGCAUCACUCAAAGAUGAUCCCGCGUUGUAUUAGCUAGUUGGUGAGGUAAAGGCUCACCAAGGCGAUGAUACAUAGCCGACCUGAGAGGGUGAUCGGCCACAUUGGGACUGAGACACGGCCCAAACUCCUACGGGAGGCAGCAGUAGGGAAUCUUCGGCAAUGGACGAAAGUCUGACCGAGCAACGCCGCGUGAGUGAAGAAGGUUUUCGGAUCGUAAAACUCUGUUGGUAGAGAAGAACGUUGGUGAGAGUGGAAAGCUCAUCAAGUGACGGUAACUACCCAGAAAGGGACGGCUAACUACGU